UAGGGAAUCUUGCGCAAUGGGCGAAAGCCUGACGCAGCAACGCCGCGUGGAGGACGAAGGCUUUCUGAGUUGUAAACUCCUUUCAGCAGGGACGAUUAUGACGGUACCUGCAGAAGAAGCACCGGCCAACUACGUGCCAGCAGCCGCGGUGAUACGUAGGGUGCGAGCGUUGUCCGGAUUCAUUGGGCGUAAAGGGCUCGUAGGCGGUUCGAUAAGUCGGGUGUGAAACCCCCAGGCUCAACCUGGGGCCGCCACUCGAUACUGUCGUGACUAGAGUUCGGUAGGGGACCAUGGAAUUCCUGGUGUAGCGGUGAAAUGCGCAGAUAUCAGGAGGAACACCAGCAGCGAAGGCGGUGGUCUGGGCCGAAACUGACGCUGAGGAGCGAAAGCGUGGGGAGCGAACAGGAUUAGAUACCCCUGUAGUCC
rnacentral:rRNA from 1 species